CAGGGUGUUUGGAGUCUGCAGCAGAGCUGCGGAGAGAGCCAGGGCUCCAGCCAGCAGCAUUUUGCUCUGCUCAAGGAUGUCUGGGGGUGUAUCCUGCAUACUCAGCCAGACAUGGGCAAUGAACCAUUUAUGAACUGGUUGUUUUAGUGGUAUGUGCGAUCUUCAACAAUUACAAUACAUCUAAACAUGUAUUUUGGUAGAAGAAACAAAGUACAAGCUAAUAUUUUCAAAAGAAGGACUUAGAGCUGCUGAUUCAUGGCAUACCAGGAGAGUCUGUGGCCUUUGGAAGUGAAUCACCUUUGGAAGGGAAUGACCAGGACAACCUGAAACAGGUGAAGAGGUGGUCAGCCCAGCUUACUUUUUCCUUCUGUGCGGUGUCAUCACAAAACCCUCUAUUGUUUUUCAUCUCUUGUGACCACACUGUUAAGAAAGACCAGAUGACUGAGCAGUGCUACUGCAUUCAAUGCUGACAUGGCGGCCCCACGACCAACAAGAAGCUCCUUGUGACAGCUCCACCACUGCAAACCUGUGCUAGGCUGUGGGCCUGCUAAGAACAGAAAGCCAGACAUAAACAGAAAUAGGAUAUAGGGCACAAAAGGGAUCCAGCUUCUUUGAUUCAACUACUCAUUGGAUCAUGAAGUGUUAAGGAUAUUGAAAAAUACAGGCUGUGUGGUCCUACAAAGACAAGAUUUGAAGACUUCAGAAGAACUGAGCAGCAUUGUUCAGCCUUCUCUUAAAGGAAGCAAAAGACAAAAGGAGUAGCUUAUUAUAGAUAGAAUCCUCAUAAGGUAACCAAACAUGUUAUAAAAGUAGGAGCUUCCUCUUUUCAGGAUGAGAGAUGCAGAUAAGGUCCUUGUAUAGACAGGAGAAGCUGGUGUAGCAGAUGUACAACAGCUUCCAUUAGUUACUUCCCCCAUAUAGAUAAAUAUUAACAGAUUAAUCUGAUUCAGAGAUUUGGUUUGCAAGUGAUGUGGAUACCCAAGGGAUUGCAGGUUUUGUUUUGUCCACAGCUGAGCUAUUCAGCCAAGUUAUUGCAUGGCUUAUGAUGAUACACUAGUGAUGUAAACAACAGGUGAUUACUGCAUAUAAGAGAUGGAAUAUUCCUUCAAGAUGCAAUAUUUCUCAGAGCAGCUUCCUCCAAGAUCUUACUGAAGUCAUUUUCCAGGAUCUUAGUAACACUAUAAUAUAAACACCAUCUCAAAGGAUUUCUUGUUCCAGGACCCUUUAAUCCUGAUCCCCCUUUCCAAGAACUGCAGAGAAAGAAAACCCAUUUAAACUUUUCAUUUGGAACAGCAGUACUCAGCUGAGCUAACAUCAAAGUAAAUUGGCAAAUUAGCUAUGCAUUUGUGUGCUUUGCUUUCACAUGUGGGUCACUCAGGGAAAUAGCAUGGCCUUGCUCAGCAGGCUCCUGGAAGCUGCCACUCGGCUAAGCUUUGCUGAAAGUAAUUUAGAUGUAUUGUGCUUCUGGGUCCUCAUUCUCCUGUUCCCAAAAGACAUGAUUGCCAGUGGAAAAAUAUUCAAAACUGGUAUUAUUGAAAGUGACUUCAGACUUCAAAAGCUCUCCAUAGCCAAGCUGUUGGACUGCGUGCUUCUCUGAGGAAGUUACAAAGAGCAGUGCCAUAGAAUAAAUAACAUCUAAGCAUUACAAGACCAUCACCUGGAAUAAACGAUAUACAGGCAGAAGAAAUGCUUAGGCAUAUGGCAGCAGAGGGGCAGCCUGACAAUAUGGCAUCUGACACGGAAGUACAUAUGAAGUGAAGAUGUGUCACUGCAUUCCUCCACGUGGAAAAGAUCAGUUUCUGAGACGUGGCUGGAAGUGCUGCUAAUUCUGGACUUGUGGUUCCUGGUGCAGCCCUGUUCAUCCUCACCCUCAUGAUAGACCUUUUGAGCCUGAAUGGACCCAGGUAGUUCUCCUGAUUUUUUUAAUGGAUGUGUUUGAAAUUGUGGUAGUUGAAGUUUCUGCUCACUGCUCAACCCCUUGCUUGUUUAAUCGAUGAGUGCUAAAUAAAUGCUGUGUGGGUGAAAAAGCUGUGCUUAAUAUUGCACGUAUUUUGUCCUAGAGUGAUAUUAACUUGCAGAAUGACACUUGAGCAGAAAGUAUCAGGUGAUAACAGCCACGCAGAGGUGAGCAUGAAUGCACCGUCCAAGGCAAGAACUUGCAGGUCGAACUUCUGUAUGUCUGAUGCAUGUAUCCAUCCUUGGCUGAGCACAGAUCUGGGCCUGCACAGCUACAAGAGUAGCGCAGCCUUCCUGGGGCAGAGCUGGCCCUAGCGAAUGCCUGUGCCACUCUCUGUGGAAGGUGUGAAAUCCAAAGCUGUGCAGCUCUUCAAAGCUUUCACACCAAUUUCUGAAGAGUCUAGGCAGAAAUGUGCUCUGCUGCUUCUUUCUGUACUUUGCUUAGUGCUAUCAUGGCUGUCUUGACUUGUAUUUGAAUGUGAUUUUCCAGUGCAGUUUUCCUCUCCUAGUGAAGAGCUAAAGCCAGUCCUUCACAUGACUAGCAAAAAAUCCAAACACAAAAUCCCUGUCUGGUAGAAUGCUGCUGCCUAUUAAUAUUUUUUAUAAUUAAUAUGCCCUGGAUCCAUAGUGAAGAGACAGAAUUUCAUUUAAUUUCUGUGGCUCCUGGGAGCUCUCUCACAAGUUGAGCUGAGAGAAAAGCCAAAUGGUGGGGGUCUCUCAGCCCUUUUCCCUGGCCCUGAGAAAAAUGACUCAUGGAUUGCUUUCCAUGGAUCAGUGGCCAUGAUGCUCUGCUAGGAGACUUUGUUGCCAGGACAACUGUUGCCAAGACAGACUGGUUUUCCUUGGGAACAAUUUCAUUUUGUUUUUUCUG